rnacentral:rRNA from 1 species
AAACUUUCAACAACGGAUCUCUUGGUUCUGGCAUCGAUGAAGACGCAGCGAAAUGCGAUAAGUAAAUGUGAAUUGCAGAAAUUCAGUGAAUCAUCGAAUCUUUGAACGCACAUUGCGCCCCCUGGUAUUCCGGGGGGCAUGCCUGUUCGAGCGUCAUU